rnacentral:lncRNA from 1 species
UUGUCUCUUGGUAUAACUCUAGGGUUGGGCAAAGGACAUUGAUUACACCUUGGGAAACACUUAUCAAAUUGAGUCUCUUGGCCACGGGAAGAGAUUCGGGAUUUGGGUAGAAUUAGGAUUAAUUCUUGUAACUCAAUUGGAACUCUUUGUAAAGUUACNNNNNNNNNNNNNNNUUCUUGUAACUCAAUUGGAACUCUUGGUAAAGUUACUCGUUUGAUAUAGUGGAACGGAGGGGCUGCUCUCUCCCCCAGACUAGGUCAUUAUUGGACCGAACUGGGUAAACAAAUUAUCGUGUUCUUUCUUCUCCUUUAUCUUGUUUAUC